rnacentral:lncRNA from 1 species
GUUUGAGGCCGGCCGCUUGGUGGCGCCUGUGGCCGCAGGGAUUUGACUGGGCCUUCUCUAGCUUUCCCCGGUUUGCUGCACUUGACGCUGCAGGGCGGGCGGGGUAAAGAAGGGAGCGAGCCCUUCUCAAGCUUGGAAAGUUUCCAGACUGCUGGGCCAGCCUCCUCCCCAGAGGGAAACUGAGGUCCGAUUGAGGUUUCUCCAAGACCGCCCACUCCUGCUCCUGUCCCCAAACCCCUUUCUGCCUAGGGUUCCUGGAAGCCAAGGAAACAGAACGAACUGUUCCCUGGGUGGGCGAGCCACUGCAGAGUACAAAGCUUUCAGGCCGCCUGCCUCAUUAGCACUAAUGGCUGCUCCCUUCCGCCCUGUGUCGUCAGGACUGUCUAUGCCUGGUCUCAUCAGCACAAGGCUGGGGUAAGGACUGCCCUUUUGUGGAGAUGGCAGGACAUACAGGACCCUGCUGCCCCUGCCUUCCCUCACCCCACUGCAGAGCUGUUUAUCACACACGUGUCCAUCUGGGAAAGGAAUGCAGGCUGAAUCAGCUUUGAGAGGAUCGCAAGGCCCCAGUGCACAAACUGGGUUGGCACAAGGCAGUGGAAAAAAGAUGAAGGGGGCCAGUAACAGCUGAAGAAGUCCCAGGAGUCCUCCCAUGUCCUCUCAGCAACCCAGGCUGGAGCCUACUCCUUGGUGUUGGCAAAGGAAACCGUCUUUGAAGCCAGAGGGAGCCCUGAAUUCAUGCAGAGGAGUUUUUCUACCUUCCAUCUGCUUCUGCAUAUCAUCUUGUCUACUUAAUGCCCCUCCUUCCGGAUUUAUAGAACAGUAUGCAUAAUAUGACCCCAACUGCAUUCCAAAAAAUAGAUGUAGAUGUAAGCUUAGAGAUGCAAAGAAACUUUUUGAGAGAAUUCACUAUGCUUCUCGCGGGUGGUGACACAGUUCAAGGAGGUUCCAUGGGGUGUAAUGUUUAUCUUUCUCUUUUGUCCUUCUGAUCAUUGAAAUGAUGCUUUGUGUGUGUGAACAUGUAUUACUUUUAUAAUUAAAAUAGAAAAAUUAAUUUGAAUGGGACAAAUGCUCGAAGUCAAAGUCACCUGUUAUAACUGCUGUCACUAACAGGGCAACUGUUUGAAAAUGCUGCAGAAACAUGAGAAAUGUUCAUGAAGUGACCCUGUGGAGGCUUCCGGUCACAGGAUCAUGUGAGCGCCACGAUCACCCCAGGGGUGGAGCAGAUGCUAAGUGUUCACCACACCCAAUUCUCUUCCUGGACACACAGGAAGAUGACAUUUCCAGUGACAUGCCCCACCUCUAGGCCCUAGUCUUUUUUUUAUUUAAAGGUCUGAGUCUUGUUCUGUCACCCAGGCUGGAGUGCAGUGCUGUGAUCAUGACUCACUGCAGCCUCAACCUCCUGUGCUCAAACAAUCCUCCCACCUCAGCCUCCCUAAUAGCUGAUGUCAUAUAGGCAUGAGCCAGUGUGCCUGGCUCAGGCCCUACCCUUAAAAGCAUCCCACCUGAUUCACCAGCCCCCUUCUCUCUCUCAGUAAACUUGGAAACCACGCAUUCCAGAUGGUAUAAUUUACAGCAUGAUGGAAAAAGCCAGCUCUCCAUGGGAAGCUGGCCAGUCUUCAUUGGAGUACAUUUUUAUUGCAUGAAGCCAAUGAGACUUGAUAUUGUUUAACUCUGUGGUUUCCAAAGUGCGGUCCUUUUGAAGUAUCCAUAAAGUCUACACUAGGUUCACGGUAAUAUUAAGAUGUUAUUUGUCAGCUGGGCACGGUGGCUCACGCCUAUAAUCUCAGCACUUUGGGAGGCCAAGGCAAAUGGAUAAUGAGGUCAGG